rnacentral:rRNA from 1 species
GACGAACGCUGGCGGCGUGCUUAACACAUGCAAGUCGAACGGAAAGGCCCUGCUUGCAGGGUACUCGAGUGGCGAACGGGUGAGUAACACGUGGGUGAUCUGCCCUGCACUUCGGGAUACGCCUGGGAAACUGGGCCUAAUCCCGGAUAGUAGCCAUUUUUAGUGUGAUGGUUGGACAGAUUUUUCGGUGUCGGAUGAGCUUGCGGCCUAUCAGCUUGUUGGUGGGGUAAUGGCCUACCAAGGCGGCGACGGGUAGCUGGCCUGAGAGGGUGGACGGCCACACUGAGACUGAGAUAAGGCCCAGGCGCCGACGGGAGGAAGCAGUGGGGAAGACUGCACAAGCGGCGCAAGGCGUGUGCAGAGAGGCCGCGUGGGGGAUGACGGUCUUCGUGUUGUAAACGCCUAGCGCGAGGGACGAAGCUUUUUGUGACGGUACCUAGAUAAGAAGCACCGGCUAACUUCGUG